CAGAGUUUGCAAAACUCCCAACCCUUGUGAACGUACUGAAAAGUUGCUUCGGCGGGAGGCUCCUCAGGGAGCGGACCGCCGGAGGAAUCCAACUCUUGUUUUUUUGGCAUCUCUGAGUAGCUUAUAAAUAAGUUA
rnacentral:misc_RNA from 1 species